AAGUCGUAACAAGGUUUCCGUAGGUGAACCUGCGGAAGGAUCAUUAAAAAAGGUCGCAAGACCUAUUUUUAAACACUACCGCCGCCUAUCAUUUAUGGGUAGGAUACUCUUGUCUAUGGGUGAGAUGGAGGAGGUAGGGUUUUUUAAAAUCUAAUUAUUAUAAAAAUAUAUAUAUCGUCUAAUGACGAACCAAAAAAAUUAUUAAAACUUUCAACAAUGGAUCUCUUGGCUCUC
rnacentral:misc_RNA from 1 species